CGUCCUUCUUUCCUCUCCUCGGAUGGAUUCCUAGGGUUGCCGCCGCCUCGCCUCUCCCCCGCGCUCAUGCCUCUCCUUCUCCCGCCCCGGGCACCACCUCCUCCGGGCCCCUGCCUACACUCCGCCCCUUCCUCUUCUUGUUGUGGCAGACAUCGCUGCUGAGCAUGCCUGCGUCGCCGCUGCUGCGGAGGGCUCCUCGACUCCGCUGCAUCCGAGGAGGGUGCCCUAUGGAGGGCCCUAAAUGUAGUAGGCGACUCCAUCCCAUGUCGCGUACGGCGGAGGCCAGGCCAAAUCCGCCUCCUCCAGACCAUCCACUUCGUCACACAAAACGAAAAAGGUUGGCCCUAGUUCGAGCUCCGCCACCCCAUCCCAGGUCGUUGUUCAUCAGUGGCAGGCCAUGCUCCGCCUCCUCAACACCCACUGUGUCUGCGACCGGACCUUGACGGCGUUUGCCCUGGACAGGACCUCAACGGCGACCUCUAGAUAUUAAAAAGGAUCGACCGGAUAAUGCCCUUGCAAUCACUGAUUUCGCUAUCAAGUCUACAAUCCAGUGUUGAUGUGUCAACACGGGAAGCAACGGCCAGCAGAGCGAUUCGGACGAGAUGCUUGCUACUAGUUUCCUCGCCAUGCCGCGACCAGAGCCUCCGCCGGUCAGUACUGUUGCUGUCUUCUUCGACAACGGCAAGAUCCGUAGCACAUGCGAGUGGAAGACUGCGCUGCCAGUUUAGGUGUUGUUUCUCCAGGUAAUAUGAUUCUCCGUCAUGUUUUCCCAAGCACUAACAAAUUCCAUCAUUUGUUUGGCUUGCAUGUGAACAGGUCGAUGGGAAUUUUCUGGCUGUGGCUCUAAGCUGAAUCAGCACUUGAUCAACCUCAAGCCAUUGUGAUGGCUCCACUAGUAGGCACAAGAUGGAAACUACCGGUUUGAGAAGGGGCUAGCCGAAAUGAACAAGUGUCAUCUACAACAAUAGCCGCUUUUGUAAAGGAUGGAAGUACACUUUAGAGGAUUGCGCACCUAUGAAGCGGUUAUUGAUGAAGUCAUGGACAAGGGACUUGCCAAUGCUACACAGUCAUGAAAUCCUUAUUGUCUUCCUUCUUCCAUACAUGAUAUACAACGCUAUCAUUAGUCCAAGUUAAAGCAGUUCUUGUGAUGCUUGAUACUGUUGGCAGGAGUGCUGACGGCAACCACAGGAGGGGGUCGGGGUGAUCGAAGAGUAAGGCGUGGGUGACUCCGGCGAGAUGUUUCUAGAGCGGAUGCCAAUGAUGCGGCAAUGAGAAGACCCUCACUAGUGCAGGCAUGGAAGGGGUGGUAAGCCAAGAGAUAGUCGUGACUCAAAAAAUUGUUGAGUGUGUGGAUGGGGUAGCUCAAAUAUAGAUUCUGAAAAGAGGAAAAGGCGCUAAAGUUGUCCUGGAAGCAAUUAUUUUUCAUACAUGUUUUCAUACUGAUAAGGAACUACUCAAAAGAUAAGUUUCAAGGAACUAAUCAACAAA